GACGAACGCUGGUGGCGUGCUUAACACAUGCAAGUCGAACGGACAGGCCCUGCUUUUGUGGGGUGCUCGAGUGGCGAACGGGUGAGUAACACGUGAGUAACCUGCCCUUGACUUUGGGAUAACUUCAGGAAACUGGGGCGAAUACCGGAUAGGAGCUCCUGCUGCAUGGUGGGGGUUGGAAAGUUUCGGCGGUUGGGGAUGGUCUCGCGGCUUCUCAGCGUGUUGGGGGGGUAGUGGCUUACCAAGGCUUUGACGGGUAGCCGGUCUGAGAGGGUGACCGGCCACAAUGGGACUGAGCUACGGCCCAGACUCCUACGGGAGGCAGCAGUGGGGAAUAUUGCACAAUGGGCGGAAGCCUGAUGCAGCAACGCCGCGUGCGGGAUGACGGCCUUCGGGUUGUAAACCGCUUUCGCCUGUGACGAAGCGUGAGUGACGGUAAUGGGUAAAGAAGCACCGGCUAACUACGUG
rnacentral:rRNA from 1 species